UACGUAGGGGGCAAGCGUUGUCCGGAUUUAUUGGGCGUAAAGAGCGUGUAGGCGGCUUUACAGGUCCGUUGUGAAAACUCGAGGCUCAACCUCGAGACGCCGGUGGAAACCGUAAAGCUAGAGUCCGGAAGAGGAGAGUGGAAUUCCUGGUGUAGCGGUGAAGUGCGCAGAUAUCAGGAAGAACACCCGUGGCGAAGGCGGCUCUCUGGGACGGUACUGACGCUGAGACGCGAAAGCGUGGGGAGCGAACAGG
rnacentral:rRNA from 1 species